rnacentral:rRNA from 1 species
UACGUAGGGGGCUAGCGUUGUCCGGAAUCAUUGGGCGUAAAGCGCGCGUAGGCGGCCCGGUAAGUCCGCUGUAAAAGUCAAAGGCUCAACCUUUGAAUGUCAGUGGAUACUGCCGGGCUAGAGUCCGGAAGAGGCGAGUGGAACUCCUGGUGUAGCGGUGGAAUGCGCAGAUAUCAGGAAGAACACCCGUGGCGAAGGCGGCUCUCUGGGACGGUACUGACGCUGAGACGCGAAAGCGUGGGGAGCGAACAGG